rnacentral:lncRNA from 1 species
GACCCGGGUGGGGCGGCGGCCACCGGGUUAGGUAGCCGGGCGCCGGGGGCGUGGAGGGCUGCAGAGUGGAGCCCAGGACAGCUGCGAUCCUGCUCGGGUUGCUUUCCUUCCUCCGUCGCCUUCUCCCUUUGCUCUGCGCUGGCCACACGGUGGGACGCCCGCGGCGACAGAAGUCUGGGCGCCCUUGUCUGAAACCUCCUGGCGAGCCUGACAAGCAGCCGCGGAGAGCAAGAUCCAUGUUCACUUAUUCCCUGGUCUAGGAGUGGAAUUUCUGGGACAUACGAUCCUUAUCCAUUAUGUUAUUACAAAUUGAAUAUAUUGAAUAUAGUUCACUGUGCUAUACAGGCUCAGCAGCCUGGACGCAGACGCAGCAGUGUGGAUGAUUGCAUUGAUCCAGACUUGGAAGUUGUGCGGCAGCCCAGACUGCUCUGUGCCAGGAUUCCUGGCGCCUCCAUGCUGGUCAGUGAGCCUGAAGAGGGCAGGGUCCAGCCUCAGGCCUCCAGCUCACUCUCCUCCCGGGAAGAAGACGCCUCUACUCCGAAGGCAGCCAGCAUGUAUCUCACUCGCAACAGUCGGCAGAUGGCCUCGGAUCCCUUCUGUUCUCAGGAAUCACAUUGGGACUAACCGCGCUGUGCAUUUUCCAUCGCUGGCAGCCAUCUCAACAGUGACGUCGGGCCUCGUUAUUAAUAGGGGAGGGACAGACCCAGAGAGAGGGGAAGUGGCUUGGGCUGAGUCACACAGCAAAGUUAGAACUGCCAGCUCCCAGCGACUAACCUCGCCCUGGGCUCUAGCCCACACACCUGGCGGCUCCGGAGACUUGCUCCUUUUUGGACUCUGGGCAACAAACUCCCUGGCUAACCAAGCGGGUCUGACUUGUCCUACAGAGCCAAUGAGGCAAAAGCUUCCUGAGAAUGUUAUAUUGUGAUCUUGCUGUUUCUACUGGUUGGCAAGAAACCGACUCCCCAUUCCUUUUCGAAUGACCUUGGACACAUCAUGGAAAGUCUCUGAACCCUCAGUUUUCCCUUCAGGAAAAUGCAGACAAGAAUUCUGGGUGCCUACCCCGCCCCCGCCCCGACAGACUGUGGACGAGCUAUAGGCUGAAGAUCGGGGUGCCCUUCUCCGAUCGGGUCUGCAUUUACAUGGGUGAACUUCAAACCUGGCUGAGCAUGGUAAUCACGUGAGUGGCCUUUAAAAAUACAAAUUCCUUAGCACUGAGAACCACAUCUAGUCGCUUAUGAUGGAGAACAAUGGACGAUAAGGUGAGAAAAAGAAUGUACAUAUGUAUGUGUGACUGGGUCACCUUGCUGUGCAGGAGAAGAUUGACAGAACACUGUAAACCAGCUAUAACGGAAAAAGAUCAUUAAAAAGACACUGACUUAAGAAGAUGUAGAUAAUGUGAAUUUUUAUCAAAUAAAGAAAUGGUAUGAAAAUUUUUUUCAAACAAACAAACAAAAGUAUAUAUAUAUAUAUACACAAGUUCCUUGGCCUUGACCAGCCUGGCUCACUUGGAUUUCUCCUCCUUUCUCCUGGCCACGUGGCCUCCAGCAUGAAGGGAACCCCCUUGGGGUGGUCUUUAACUUUUCCAUUUAAAUCCCCACCGACUCAGCUUAAAGAAACCUUCGCUAGGAGAUGGUCUCUCUCUGUCUCUCUCUCUUGGACUCACUGUUCCCCCAAUGUUGGCACUUCUCACAUGCUGCUUGUUAUUUUUACUUCACUGUUUCAAAUCUUUGCCUCUUGUUUCCCCCAAUGAGCUCCUGGAGGGUAAAAAACUGUGCCAUACCCUUCUCUUGCCGCACAAGCGCUGGCACUAUCAGGACCUAGUAUCUGUUCAAUAAAUAGUUAUUGAAUGGCAAA